rnacentral:rRNA from 1 species
UACUGCAGUCGAGCGGACAGAUGGGAGCUUGCUCCCUGAUGUUAGCGGCGGACGGGUGAGUAACACGUGGGUAACCUGCCUGUAAGACUGGGAUAACUCCGGGAAACCGGGGCUAAUACCGGAUGCUUGAUUGAACCGCAUGGUUCAAUUAUAAAAGGUGGCUUUUACUUACCCUUUACAAAUGGACCCCCGGCGCAUUACUUAGUUGGGGAGGUAACGGUUCACCAAGGCAACAAUGCGUACCCAACCUGAAAGGGGGAUCGGCCCCCCGGGAACUGAAACCCGGCCCAAACUCCUACGGAAGGCAGCAUUAGGGAAUCUUCCGCAUUGAACAAAAGUCUGACGAACCACCGCCCCGGGAGUGAUGAAGGUUUUCGAAUCGAAAAAUUCGGUUGUUAGGAAAAACCAAGUCCCGUUCGAAUAGGGGGGUACUUGGACGGUACUUAACCAAAAGCCACGGUUAACUACGUGCCACCAGCCGCGUUAUACGUAGGGGAAGCGUGUCGGAAUAUUGGGCGUAAGCGCGCGCAGCGUUUCUAGGUCUGAUGUGAAGCCCCGGC